ACACUACUAAAAACAAUUGCAAUUGCUUCGAAAAUUUGCCACGGCAUGACUUUCCGUCGCAAAAGCCAUGAUUUGCAACGGUAUCUGCCACGGUUAUCUUUCCGUAGUACGCUUACAAUUUUUUGCAACGGGAUUUGUAUUGCCGUCGCAUAAUUUCAGAGACUAAAGGGAAACAUCGUCGCAUGAUUUAAAGAGUUCGACGAGUUUCUUAAAACAAAAAAAAAGCAGAGAAAAUCCCAAACUCACUUCUCCACAAUUCUAAUACGAUUCUUCCUCUCUCUCUCUCUCUUUUAUUUCCUUCUCCAUCACCAAAACCUCCUCUGCUUGCUCUUCAUCUGCUCUCACCGUAGAUCAGAGUUCAAAAAAUCUCAUAUCGGAAUACAUGCAUUGGCGCUCUCUUUCUCCUUUGUCAAUUCAACCAGCCUCAUUCGCUUAGGGUUGCUACACUUGGUUAAGAACACAGCGUCGAAGUACUUUGAGGUCAACGCAAAUUUCGAAAGAGGAGGCGGAGGAGACCACAGUGGUGAUUGGACGACCCAAAUUAUCUAUAAUCUAAAGCGCGUGGACUGUUCACCCGGGCGUUACUGUUCAUUCGAGCCCGAAUAGAAGACUAGAAGGUUCAGUUUUCUGCCACAGGAGAUGGAGCGAAGUAAACAGAGGAAGAAAGGAGAGAAGAAGAGGCCAUCCCUUCAAAAUGUCCAUCGCUAGGUGGAGUUUGCCAUUGGAGGCUUAAUCGUGGACACCAAGGUGUUCUAUUGGCCAAGAAAGUGUGCUUAGCUUUGCUGAUUGAAGAAGAUGAAUGGAAAAAUGAGCUCUUCUUCAGCAUCAGAAGAUGCUGCUGCUCAGGAGCUGAUGUGUGCCUGGAGUGCUGGCCGCUUAUGACAAUUGCUUUGAGAUGACUUUGGUUUCAAUGACAUUCUUUGGGUAUACAAUGGCUGACAUGGUGUUCACUAUUGGGUUUGUGAUGAGAAAGCUGGAAGGAACACAAUGUAGAGAGCUAGAGAAUUAGUUCAGCGGGGGAUUUUCAGAUUGUGAGCGCAUGCAGAGGACGUUAGCCAAGGAAUUUCAACACAUGAAGUCUAAGUAUGCAAAGGUUUAGAGAAUUAAUUACUAUAGCUUUGGUGAUUGUUAUCUCCCUCUCUUAUGAAUGUUGGAUUCUGUUAGUUAUGUCAUCAAUAUAUUGAACUUCACAACUUAUUGUUCUCCCCCCCUCUGAUUUUGGUUCUCUGCUAAUUUUUAGAUCGGAGUUUUUGGUACUUGACAUUUUUUUAUUACAUCUGGAUUUUAGGUGCUAUUGUUUUUUUACCAUAAUUCCGUCUUUGGAUUUGUUUUAGAUUGGUUUCUAGGUAUAGGUACUUCCAUGUACUUUUUUGAAUAAUCAGUUACAUUAUUUUUGUAAUCUUGGCUUCUACAUCAUCUUUUUUCCUUUUCUUUUUCUUUUUGGGGUUCCUAUUUCAUUGUACACUUGAAUUCAGAAAUAUGUAUAAGAAAAUUCAGAGAAAAAAUAAUAAUGUUGGAUUAGAAA